AGAGCCAAUUUUUAUGGUCUUUGUGAUGAGCUCAACAGGUUCAGAUCAUACAGAAGCAAUGUAAAGGCCAUACUGUGAUAAUCACAAAUCUUCAGCAUAUCACCUUGAUAAAGUAUUAGUAUAAAACUGUAAAUACUCUAAAGGAAUGUCUUUUACUCAAUGAUAAGCAACUCAAUUUCUAUUAAUAACUUAACUGGCAAUAUAACUUGUUCAUAUGCGAUAAAACUUAUCAUGGAAAUUAGCACAAGCUAUGUAGUCUGUUGCUUGUGUGCUCUCCUAUAUAACUACUUGGUAAAUGCACAAGCAGCACAUUUACCUACUCAUCAUGUGAAACUCUGCAGGAAGCUUCACAAAUGCACUCACCUUUCUGAAAAUCAUAGUAGACACCACGGCCCUUUAUUAUGGACUGUUAUUUUCAAACUCCCAUCAAGUGUUGUGUAGACUGCCAGUGAGAUUUAAUCACACUGCGUAUCCAUGAUGGAUUAUUCGCCAGUUUAUCCUCAUCCUAGAUCCAUCACUACCACUAAUCGACACAUCAGCAAGCUGCAGUCUUGGUAGGGAGGGGAAAGGAAGGAGGAGGAGGCGUACCUUGGGCGUACAGGUCCUGCAGCCCGACAGGAGGGAGAUGCUGCAGAUGUCGCCGGCGUCGAGGUCCACCGCGGCAGCAAGCACCCCCAUAUGCCUUGCCCCAGCACCGAGAGCAGGGGUUGGAUCCCGAUGCUGAUGGCUAGGCUAGGGUUCGUCGCCGGCCUCCAUCCGGAUGUUGCGGGUGCGGAUCCGGUGCCGUCGUCGCCGUAACAGAUCCGUGGCCAUCUCUGCCGCCCCAUCAUCCGGAUCCUCGUGAUCCACGACGGCCGAGUCUGCCCGGAUCGGCGUUGGCGGAUGCGGCUGCGUAUCCUCGGGAGAGGAGGAGCGGAUCGGAGGUGGCGGCAGCGGAUCGCACGAGAGGGCGGCGGCUCUGUGUCGUCGAGGGGAUCGAUAGGUUUUUGCGGGUUGGUUUUUUUUGGCUGCGUAGGUGGGAGAGG
rnacentral:lncRNA from 1 species